UUUCUGGCGAGCCGUCAGCCCUUUCUGGGUGUGGCGGGGAGCCAGGACUUUUACUUUGAAAAAAUUAGAGUGUUUAAAGCAGGCCUACGCUUGAAUACAUUAGCAUGGAAUAAUAGAAUAGGACCUCGGUUCUAUUUUGUUGGUUUCUAGGACCGAAGUAAUGAUUAAUAGGGAUAGUUGGGGGCAUUAGUAUUUAGUAGCUAGAGGUGAAAUUCUUGGAUUUACGAAAGACUAACUUCUGCGAAAGCAUUUGCCAAGGAUGUUUUCAUUAAUCAAGAACGAAAGUUAGGGGAUCGAAGACGAUCAGAUACCGUCGUAGUCUUAACCAUAAACUAUGCCGACUAGGGAUCAGACGAUGUUAAUUUACUGACUCGUUUGGCACCUUAUGAGAAAUCAAAGUUUUUGGGUUCCGGGGGGAGUAUGGUCGCAAGGCUGAAACUUAAAGGAAUUGACGGAAGGGCACCACCAGGAGUGGAGCCUGCGGCUUAAUUUGACUCAACACGGGGAAACUCACCAGGUCCAGACAUAGGAAGGAUUGACAGAUUGAGAGCUCUUUCUUGAUUCUAUGGGUGGUGGUGCAUGGCCGUUCUUAGUUGGUGGAGUGAUUUGUCUGCUUAAUUGCGUUAACGAACGAGACCUUAACCUGCUAAAUAGUUAUGCCAGCCUUCGUUGGUAGCCCACCUUCUUAAAGGGACUGUCGGCGAUUACCCACGGAAGUUUAGGCAAUAACA
rnacentral:rRNA from 1 species